rnacentral:misc_RNA from 1 species
UUUCCGUAGGUGAACCUGCGGAAGGAUCAUUAUUGUAUAACCAAAGUGCUAGGGUUGCCGCUGGCCCGAAUGGUGGAGCAUGCCCGAGUGCCCUCACACACAUCCAUCACACCCCUAUGUUCACCACCGCAUGAGUCCCCCUUAGCCUUGUUCGGCGAGGGGCGUACGUUUUCACACAAACUUUAUAUACAGUGUAGAACGUAUGUUUUCUUUUUUCUAUCACCCAAUCAAUACAACUUUCAUCAACGGAUCUCUUGUCUGUACCACCGUUGAAGAACG